rnacentral:lncRNA from 1 species
GAAAAGUCUAGUAAAAUAGAUAAAAUAUCUGACUCACGCAAUGAACAAGAUGGAAGGGUAGUGCCCUCAUACUAGUUUCCAUCAUUAAUUAAUAGGCAAAGUUAGAAUGAAUAAAUUUGUUUCAUGAACGGGACUGAGGCAAAUCAAAGAAAACUAAUAAAUGAAAUUCCAAUAUGUAUUAAUUUUGUAGCAUUUUCGGAUGUUGACGCACAGGACGCGAUAACCCGCAUCUAAUAGUGGCUUUAAGCUUGCUACAUAGAACUGGAUCACGGCAGGAAGUGAUUUACUUUGUUCGCUAAAAUAAAAACUCUGCCACCCCAGAGUAUAAGUGGUUUGAAAAGCCAAACCGGAAAUGGAGGCUCUCAUUGCCGCUACCUUGCUACCGGCCGCGCUGCCAAUAACCUUACAGUACUCGAGAGAGAGCUCCGUUAGUGGAUGCUUUACAGACAGAGAGGAGCAGCGGGGACUUGAAGAGAAGCACUUUACGGAAUUUUCUGAGAUUUCCAGGCUAAUAUUCCCCGGGCGACCUCACACGGCGGAAACAACUGAUCCAUGAACAUGAGAAACCCACUGUACUGGGCUGCGCUGGCUGUGAUGACGGUCCUGCUGAUGGAGCAAGGACUGAAGGUACUCAGGAAGGAUCUGAAAAAAGAGUAAAACCAGUGGUUGUGAAAAAGACUUUCUUUUGGUGCAGUCCACACAGAAACCAUAUAGCAGUGUGUACAAGGAGAGCAGGUAGAUGGCGCUUAGUAAUGUCCAAAUAUUUCAAGAAUUUAGGAGAUGUUCAUUUUUACUUAUGCACACAGUACCACAUUAAAAAACCUGUUGUGUUGCCUUGUGAUUUUACAGGUGAAGGAGUAAUAACAUACUGUACCUACAUACAAUUCCAUGAUCUGAAUGCUGCCAGUGAAACCACGGGUAGGACAUAGCUGCCAUCCAUUUCUAGGUAUGAAAGAGGGUAAUAGGAUACCCAGCAGCCAGGGGCAGGGGUCAUCGUAGUAGUAACUACAGGGAAAACACCUAGGGGCUGGGUCAGUCUUCCAGCAGGCCAGAGCAGGUAAAAAGUGGUAAAGCCUCAAGUUAGAGGCCCAAGCCCAUGAGGCCACUAUCCCCUGUGGUUAAUCUAUGUACUCUUGUACAAAAGCCACUUGGAGCCACUUGGAAAUCAGAAUGUCUCUGACAGCCUGAUGAUUUAAUGGAUACCUAAACUGGAUUGUAAGGCUUCAAACCCGUUACCAGGUAUAGCUGAUAUAUUCAGUGAUACAGUAUAGUGAGAUCGGUAAAAAAGAAAGGGGGACACCAGCGUUACCCUCUUCAUAUCUGCUUAGUUCCUAACUAUAAACCAGUAGGACAUUUUUUGAAAGAAAGGAAAAAAAAUUGAAUUAGGUAAAAUUACUGCAAAAGCUAUUUGUAUAAUAACUUCCAGGGUAAUUUAGACAAGCCAUCAACACUGAUAAACCUGUCUGGAAGUGUCGUUUCACACAUAAAAGGAGCAGAGCUGUUCGGGUGAGGGAAGAGGGGAAAAGGAACACUUGGAGACAGACAGCAAGAGGUGCUGGUGGUAGUAGUUAUUUGAAGAAUGUUGCCUGUUCAGCUGCUCGGUGAUUACAUUUAUUUGGAUAGUAGCCAAUAAUUUAUCUACCUGCACAUGUACUGUGCAGGUUUAUGUCGUUCAUAUCACGAGGAGGCUGAGCUACUGACUGGAAGUGUGCAUGGCAAUGGCCACCUGUAGCUACUGUACAGUAGAGAGCAGCAGGUGUCUACUGCGUUAAAAUUUGUGAGGCGUUUCAUUUCUGCCAGGACUGGUAGGUCAGUCUUAUCUAUGUCAUGUGGGGGUGUCCAUGCUCCUCUUCACUGUAUCACUAUAAGAUUUCACUUGAGUACAUUUGAUACUUGGACUACUUGUCUUUGUAGUUGUGAAAACAUUCU